GGAGGCAGCAGUGAGGAAUAUUGGUCAAUGGGCGAGAGCCUGAACCAGCCAAGUCGCGUGAAGGAUGAAGGUAUUAUGUAUUGUAAACUUCUUUUUUAGGGGAAUAAUAUCCCGGACGUGUCCGGGCUUGUAUGUACCCUACGAAUAAGCAUCGGCUAACUCCGUGCCAGCAGCCGCGGUAAUACGGAGGAUGCGAGCGUUAUCCGGAUUUAUUGGGUUUAAAGGGUGCGUAGGUGGGUCGGUCAGUCAGCGGUGAAAUCCCGGAGCUUAACUUCGGAACUGCCGUUGAAACUGCCGGUCUUGAGUGUGAACGAGGUAGGCGGAAUUCGUAGUGUAGCGGUGAAAUGCAUAGAUAUUACGAAGAACUCCGAUAGCGCAGGCAGCUUACCAGGCCACAACUGACACUGAAGCACGAAAGUGUGGGUAUCAAACAGGAUUAGAUACCCUGGUAGUCCACACAGUAAACGAUGAUAACUAACUGUUUGCGAUACACAGUAAGCGGUACAGCGAAAGCGUUAAGUUAUCCACCUGGGG
rnacentral:rRNA from 1 species